rnacentral:lncRNA from 1 species
AAUUACAUCGUAAUGAUAUCAAAAUUAGAUAAAAAAACAAUGUGUUAAACACUGUUGUAUAUUCAGCAGCAUAUGGCCAAUUAUCACACACAUUGACCACUAAAAUUUGCUUCAAAAUGAGAUCAAAUGAUACUUGAUCUACUCUCGCAAACCAAUGACAUUAUAAUGAUAUUAAAAUCAAAUAAAACAUAGUGUGUUAAACAGUGAUGCAUAUAGCCAAUUAUCACACACAUUGAGCACCAAGAUUUGACUAAAUAAAUGAAUGAAGAGAGAAAGUCAGUUGCAGACUUCAGAAUAAAGGUACAAACCGAAGUCAAUAAAAUGAUAUGUCGAUUUACUUAAGCCCUGAAAACCCCAAAAUCAAUAAGAAUGAACUCUUAGUUUGAUUAAGCCCUGUAAACCACAAACCAAAUUUUAUUCCAAAUGAGUAAUCAUGCAAACGGACAGAGUUCAUAAUAGAUAAAAAUUUAACUAACAAAAAUAAGAAGAGAUCAAAGCCAAUAUGCAUAUGUACAACAAUGAAUUUAAACAAUACAAAUAAUCCAUAACAAAUUAUAGGAAACCAAGAAAAAUAAAAUAGUCACAAAGCAAAUAACCAUAGGAAAAGAAAUGAUUUAAUAAAAAAAAACACUCAGAAAAAAAAAAAAAAAAUUGAAUCACCAUGAUUCAUUGAAUGUAUAUCUUGUAUAAAACUGAAUCACACUGAUUAGUUUUCUCACUCUAGAAAAUGUCUCAAGCUGUCUCUUGUAGGUCAGGAAAUAUAGAAUAUUAAAACCGUGAGCCUUUCAGGCUAUGUAACCAAAAAUAAAAUAAAAAUGGGGAUAAUCCCUGCAGGUGACCGCUAGUUAUUGGAAGAUCAAUGAAACAAAAUAUAUAUAUAUGGAUAACUGCAGUAGUAAAAAGGAAGAAAACAACGUACCCAUAUUUUUAUUUUUGUCAAUAUCUUUUACCCUUUUAUUGUAAAACCCUAAAAAGAAAUCCGACAGAGUUCAGAAAAAUGAAACAAUAGUUUCAAAAAAUCACUCAAAAUAGUCAGAUAAAAAAAUGGCCUCUUUAGAAAUUGUUGAUUUCUUAAUAAAUAUAAUAGAAACCAGCAUUUCCAGCAUUUGUAGGAAGGGAAUAGAUCGCCGGGAGAGGGAUAGAGAGAGACAGGGAGAGAAAGAGAUGGAAUAGAUUAGAGAGAGGAAUCAAAGGCAGAGGGGAUGAAAGAUCACAAAUGAAAGAGAAGAGAGAUUGUAGAGAUAUCAGAGGGAGAGAGGAUCAGAGAGAAGAUGAAGGAGAGGACAGGAAGGAGAAGAGCAUUGGUUGGAUGCAGGUGCGAGAGAGACAGAUAAGCUUGGAGGCAGGCAAUGGGCUUCUGAGCUUGGAGGCUGCGAUGCUAGGGUUGAGAUUGUAUAGGAAACAAAACCAUUGCGGAAAAAGUUCUCAAUCUCUCCUUUUCUUUUAGGGAAAAGUUUAUAUAGAGCCCAGGUUUUAAAC